UACAGAGGAGCCAAGCGUUGUCCGGAUUUACUGGGCGUAAAGCGCACGUAGGCGGGGCGUUAAGUCGGGGGUGAAAUCCUGGAGCUCAACUCCAGAACUGCCUUCGAUACUGGCGACCUAGAGUCCGGAAGAGGUGAGUGGAACUCCUAGUGUAGAGGUGGAAUUCGUAGAUAUUAGGAAGAACACCAGUGGCGAAGGCGGCUCACUGGUCCGGUACUGACGCUGAGGUGCGAAAGCGUGGGGAGCAAACAGG
rnacentral:rRNA from 1 species